rnacentral:rRNA from 1 species
GUGGUGCGAAGCGCACGGGAGCGGUGGGGGGUUGCAGAGGCCAGGGAGAAGCGACUGUUUACUAAAAACACAGGUCCAUGCGAAGCCGUGAGGUGAGGUAUAUGGACUGACGCCUGCCCGGUGCUGGAACGUUAAGAGGAUCCAUUAGCCCUUAGGGGUGUCGUGGUGAAUUGAAGCGCCAGUAAACGGCGGUGGUAACUAUAACCAUCCUAAGGUAGCGAAAUUCCUUGUCGGGUAAGUUCCGACCUGCACGAAUGGCGUAACGACUUCUCCGCUGUCUCAACCACAUGCUCGGCGAAAUUGCAGUACGAGUAAAGAUGCUCGUUUCGCGCGGCAGGACGGAAAGACCCCGGGACCUUUACUAUAGCUUGGUAUUGGCGCAUGGUCUGGUUUGUGUAGGAUAGGCGGGAGCCUGGGAAGCUCGCACGCUAGUGUGGGUGGAGGCGUUGGUGAAAUACCGCUCUGGCUUGAUGGUGUGUCUCACCCGCGGCCCUGAUCGGGUCGGGGGACAGUGCCUGGUGGGUAGUUUAACUGGGGCGGUUGCCUCCUAAAUGGUAACGGAGGCGCCCAAUGGUGCCCUCGGGCCGGUUGGAAACCGGUCGGUGAGUGUAAGCGUAGAAGGGUGCUUGACUGUGAGACUGACGGGUCGAGCAGGUGCGAAAGCAGGGGCUAGUGAUCCGGCACCGAUGUACGGAUGUGGUGUCGCUCAACGGAUAAAAGGUACCCCGGGGAUAACAGGCUGAUCUUCCCCAAGAGUCCAUAUCGACGGGAUGGUUUGGCACCUCGAUGUCGGCUCGUCGCAUCCUGGGGCUGGAGUUGGUCCCAAGGGUUGGGCUGUUCGCCCAUUAAAGCGGCACGCGAGCUGGGUUUAGAACGUCGUGAGACAGUUCGGUCCCUAUCCGCCGCGCGCGCAGGAGAUUUGAUGAAGGGCUGUCCCUAGUACGAGAGGACCGGGAUGGACGAACCGCUGGUGUGCCAGUUGUCCCGCCAGGGGCAUGGCUGGUUGGCUACGUUCGGGAGCGAUAACCGCUGAAAGCAUCUAAGCGGGAAGCGUGCUUCGAGAUGAGAUCUCCGUCAGGGGUGAAGCCCUGGUGAGGCGCCCGGGAGAUGACCGGGUUGAUAGGCUCGACAUGGAAGCGGUGCAAGCUGUGGAGUGGACGGGUACUAACCGCCGAGAACUUAACUU